rnacentral:rRNA from 1 species
CCCUUGUCUCUAGUUGCUACGAAAGGGCACUCUAGAGAGACUGCCGGUGACAAACCGGAGGAAGGUGGGGAUGACGUCAAGUCCUCAUGGCCCUUAUGGGUAGGGCUUCACACGUCAUACAAUGGUGCAUACAGAGGGUUGCCAAGCCGCGAGGUGGAGCCAAUCCCAGAAAAUGCAUCGUAGUCCGGAUCGUAGUCUGCAACUCGACUACGUGAAGCUGGAAUCGCUAGUAAUCGCGGAUCAGCAUGCCGCGGUGAAUACGUUCCCGGGUCUUGCACACACCGCCCGU